rnacentral:rRNA from 1 species
GAUGAACGCUGGCGGCGUGCCUAAUACAUGCAAGUCGAGCGAACAGACGAGGAGCUUGCUCCUCUGACGUUAGCGGCGGACGGGUGAGUAACACGUGGAUAACCUACCUAUAAGACUGGGAUAACUUCGGGAAACCGGAGCUAAUACCGGAUAAUAUAUUGAACCGCAUGGUUCAAUAGUGAAAGACGGUUUUGCUGUCACUUAUAGAUGGAUCCGCGCCGCAUUAGCUAGUUGGUAAGGUAACGGCUUACCAAGGCAACGAUGCGUAGCCGACCUGAGAGGGUGAUCGGCCACACUGGAACUGAGACACGGUCCAGACUCCUACGGGAGGCAGCAGUAGGGAAUCUUCCGCAGUGGGCGAAAGCUUGACGGAGCAACGCCGCGUGAGUGAUGAAGGUCUUCGGAUCGUAAAACUCUGUUAUUAGGGAAGAACAAAUGUGUAAGUAACUAUGCACGUCUUAACGGUACCUAAUCAGAAAGCCACGGCUAACUACGUG